UGGGGAAUCUUCCGCAAUGGACGAAAGUCUGACGGAGCAACGCCGCGUGAGUGAAGAAGGUUUUCGGAUCGUAAAGCUCUGUCUUCAGGGGGGAANGUAUAGAUUGUGAAUAAUGAUUUGUAAUGAC
rnacentral:rRNA from 1 species